AACGAACGCUGGCGGCAUGCCUAACACAUGCCAGUCGAACGAUGCCUUCUGGUCUAUUCGCGCACGUGUGCGUAACGCGUGGGAAUCUUCCCUUGGGGUCGGAAUAACAUUUGGAAACGACUGCUAAUACCGGAUGAUUGCUUAUGUCCAAAGAUUUAUCUCCCAGGGAUGAUCCCGCGUAGGAGUAGCUAGUUGGUGGGGUAAAGGACUACCAAGGCGAAGAUCCUUAGCUGGUCUGAGAAGAUGACCCGCCACACUGGGACUGAGACACGGCCCAGACUCUUACGGGAGGAAGAAGUGGGGAAUAUUGGACAAUGGGCGAAAGCCUGAUCCAGCAAUGCCGCGUGAGUGAUGAAGGCCUUAGGGUUGUAAAGCUCUUUUAAAAGGGAUGAUAAUGACAGUAACGGGAGAAUAAGCCCCGGCUAACUACGUG
rnacentral:rRNA from 1 species